UACGGAGGGUGCAAGCGUUAUCCGGAUUCACUGGGUUUAAAGGGUGCGUAGGUGGGCAGGUAAGUCCGUGGUGAAAUCCCCGAGCUUAACUCGGGAACUGCCAUGGACACUAUUUGUCUUGAAUAUUGUGGAGGUAAGCGGAAUAUGUCAUGUAGCGGUGAAAUGCUUAGAUAUGACAUAGAACACCAAUUGCGAAGGCAGCUUACUACACAGUUAUUGACGCUGAGGCACGAAGCGUGGGAUCAAACAGG
rnacentral:rRNA from 1 species